GGAACAUUUGUACAAUGUUGUACUAAGUUUAAAGUUAAUUGGUCUUAAACUUCAUCAAAAACUACCUUGAUCAAAAUGUUUAACCUGAAUCAGGACUGAUGGACUAAAAACAGAUCCACAGACCAAAAAACAUGAUUGGGCAUACAAAUUUCAACAACUCAUUUAACUAUGAAAAUGAGGCCAUGAACAUAUGACAAAUGAAAACGUCCUAACAUAGUCAUUUCGGUCUUCUACCUUAUGGAAUAUUAAGAUUUCUACAAAUAGUAUACAGCAUUGCCAAAAAACUGUAAUACCUUUGUCUCACAUUCUACAACUUUUAUCUCUGGCAAGACAAAAAUCAAUAACUUUCAAAUUACUUUAUAAUUGUCCCAUUGUAUUAAUCCAUAAUCUUUAAAAACUAUGGCCAUGAUAAAUAUGAUUACCGGUACUAAUAAAGGUGCAGUAAGUAAAAUAUCUAUUUUGAAUAAAAAUCGUUCUAUAUAUAUCUUCUAUCAAUGUAUAUGGACACAAUGUUCACUGCCAGUAGCCACAUGUCCAUCAAGAUGUGCCACACAUGUGGCAUGUGAUUGUUUUGAUUCAUGUAAGAGGUCCGUGGAAUAUCUGUCCCAAACAUUCAAGUUCUGGUUUCUGUCCAGUGUGAUGAUAACAUCAGUUGAUGUGUGGUGACUUCUAUACC
rnacentral:lncRNA from 1 species